AUCAACCUGUCUCAUUUUUGUCUAUCCGGACGUCCACAAUCGACCUUUCGCCUUCCUUGUGUUCAUCCUUAUGAAACAAGGAUCCUUUGUUGAAACACACGUUACAAUUAAGGAUGAUUUUUCUUGUGACUCGAUCAUAUAACCUGUAAUCCUUCACACCACCACCAUAGCUGACAAAGAUGUACUUUUUAACCUCUUAAUUCAACUUAUCUCUCUCAAUUUAUGGUACAUAAGAGUAAGCAUCACAACCAAAGACUCAUAGUCCUGAGUAGUCUAUCUGCUGACCACUCCACACUUCUUCUAGAAUUUUACAUUCAACGGUCGCAGAGGGGGACGAUUUACCAAGUAACAUGCCGUGUUAACGGUUUCAGUCAACAUUUCCUUACCCAACCCAUCGUUACUCAUCAUGCAUCUGGCCCUCUCAAAGAGAGUCUGAUUCAUUCGUUCAGCCACACCAUUUUGCUUUGGUAUGUGGCAUAUUGUGUUGUGCCUUAUGCUCCUUUCAUCCUUACAAUACCGAUUGAAUUCUCCACCAUUAUCUGUCCUCAAUACUUUCACAUUUCGUCAUAUCUAUUUUUUUAACCACCGCCUUCUAUUGUUUAAAGUUAAUGAAAACAUUGAAUUUAUUUUUCAUAAAAUAAACUUACACUUUUCUGUAAUAGUCAUCAAUGAAUGUAACAAACCAUAAUGACCAUCCACCAGAAAAUAUGGGCGACGACCCCCAUACAUUAGAACGCACAUAAUCUAGAACUCCCUUACAAAUAUGUUUCUUGGGUUCGAAAGACGACAUUGACUGUUUACCAUAUAUAUAAUGCUCAUAUAUACUGAAAUCAAUACUUUUAAGAACUAGAAUUAAACAACGGUCAGAAAGUACAUUCAUGCACUGCUUGCUCAUGUGGCCUAAACGUGUAUGCAUGCCACAUAACAUGCAGACGUGGAAUCUGCUACAGACUCUGCAACUCCACUCGAUGAAGUACUCCCGAUCAACCUAUAUAAAUGUUUCCAUUUAUCUGCUCCUUCAUGACUAUGAUUGUCCCUUUUAGAUUUUUGAGGACAUGAUCGAACCCGGUGAAUUUGCACCAAAGUGCCUCAAGUGUACCUAGAGAUAUCAGGCUCUUCCUCAACUUAGGAACAUGUCCCACUUCGGUCAAGAGACACUCCAUGUCAUCAAACAUAUUGAUGUGCACCGAUCCAACACCAACCACUUUGCAUGUAUUAUCGUUGCCCAUAAACACCUGGCUACCAUCGCACUCACUGUAACUGGUGAACCAACUCCUUUGAGGGGUCAUGCGGUACAAAGCUCCCAUAUCCAAAAUCCAUUCUCCAUUGAAGUACCCGGAUUUUGAUGCGGUCAAUACAUCACUAUCAUUCGUCUCCUCAUUGGAUUUUGUAGUGUUGGCCUCCUUCGAAGAACUCUCUGAAUUCUCUUUCAUCGACCUAGGAUUCUUACAAUCAUUCCCCAUGUGCCAUAUGAUGCUACAAUUCCAGCACUUCAACUUUCCUUUAUCCCUACCCUUGGAUUUGGACAUGAAAAUUCAUUAUCCCGCUCAAAAUUUCUUUCCCUCGUAACCAACGUAUCUGUAGAAGCACCCACGUCACUGCUUUUCUUUCUCAACGCCUUCGACUGAAGGGUUGAGAUAACGGUUUCAACGCAAAUUGUCGUUCUACCAGUACAUAAAGAGUCUUUGAACGACCCAUACGAUGCUGGAAUAGAGUUCAACAUGAUACAUGCUUGAUUUUCAUCUUUUAUCGUCUCCACAUCCAACAACCUGCAAACAAGCCUAUAAAAGUUAUUGAUGUGGGCCUCAACGUCAGCCCCUCUCUGCCAUCUUAAGAUUGAACAACUGUAGCUUUAGAUAUAAGCGAUUCUCAAGAGACUUAUUCGUAUAGAUGCUUUUUAGUUUCGCCCAAUGUACUUGUUGCAGUUUUCUCUCUCAUAACAUUAUAAAUGAGCUCAUCCGUUAGACACAAUUGAAUAGAUAUAUUAGCUUUCUUAUCUAACUUGUUCCAUUCUUUUUCUGACAUAGUUUCUGGUCGCUUUUUAAGGAGAGUUCCGUCGAAUCCUUCCUGAACUAAGAUACAGUUCAUUUUAACUUUUCAUAGUUCCAAAUUGCUUUUAUUAAUACUUCUAUACAUCGAACUUCAUAUUAAAUGCCAUUGAUACCUUGCUUUCAGAUUCGAUUUGCUUCCCAACGUUAUCUCUGAUACCACUUAUUGGGAACCGUGGAAGCAUAUGGAGUGGAACCAAGCAAAGUACACACAAUCACACAAACAAACCCAAAUAAGAGCCAUUCGAUUUUUACGUGGAAAAACCCUCGCGGGAAAAAAUCACAGUACAAAGUAACAAGUAAUGCACUUUGAAAGCAAAAUUAUAAGAGAUAGAUCUUAUUGAUUCAAACAAGCCUCGAACCUCCUUUAAACCUUAUCUAUGCCCUUAAUCCUUUGAAACGUUUUAGAAAGCCCUAAUACACCUUAAUCUCACCCUAAUCCCAAUUACACCCGAUAUAUAUACUAUUACAACCGGAAUAGGAAACAAAUCCAACACUUACACAACUUUGCACACGCUAUUGAUGAGACCUUCGAUGGCAUUGACCGGCAUUGAAGCCUAGUCAAUGACAUCGAUCAUUUAAUUGCAUCAAGUAGUAACUUCCAAAACUGUUCAGCAAACAAAUAGAAUUUUUUCAGAUUUUCUUGAUAGGAUUGAGCUGUCUUUUUGUGGCAUCGGCAGACCCUGUUACGGAUAGAUUUAAGACAUCAACAACAGUCGUUUUGGGGUGCACUGAUGGAGAAGUGAUAGCUGAUCAAAUCCGGUGGUGACCCAUUUUUUAGCGGUACAAUCCAUCGGAAUUGAAACC